rnacentral:rRNA from 1 species
CAGAGGGUGCAAGCGUUGUUCGGAUUUACUGGGCGUAAAGCGUACGCAGACGGCUUGGUGGGUCGGAUGUGAAACGCCCCGGGCUCAACCCGGGAAUUGCAUCCGAAACCACCUCGCUCGAGUGUGGGAGAGGGAAGCGGAAUUCCUGGUGUAGAGGUGAAAUUCGUAGAUAUCAGGAGGAACACCGGCGGCGAAGGCGGCUUCCUGGCCCAUUACUGACGUUCAGGUACGAAAGCGUGGGGAGCAAACAGGAUUAGAUACCCUGGUAGUCCACGCCGUAAACGAUGUGUGCUGGAUGUCGGGGGUAUUCACCCCCUCGGUAUCGAAGCCAACGCGAUAAGCACACCGCCUGGGGAGUACGGCCGCAAGGUUG